rnacentral:lncRNA from 1 species
UAUGCUAUCACUAUAUGUGGAAUCCUAAAAAGUGAUUCAAAUGAACUUAUUUACAAAACAGAAGCAGACUCACAGACAUAGAAAACAAACUUAUAAUUACCAAAGGGGGAAGGAUAAAUUAGAAUACAUUUAGCAGAAACAACCUACUAUAUAUAAAAUAGGUAAACAACAAAGUCCUCCUGUGUAGUACAGGGAACUAUACUCAAUAUCCUGUAAUAGACCAUAAUGGAAAAGAAUCUGUAUGGCUGAACCACUUUGGAGUUCCUGCUGUGGCUCGGUGGGCUGAGAACCCAACAGUGUCCGCAGGGUGUGGGUUUGAUCCCUGGCCUCACUCAGUCGGUUAAGGAUCAGGCAUUGCUGCCAGCUGCAGUGUAGGUCACAGAUGUGGCUUGGAUCCAGUGGUGCUGUGGCUGUGGUGUAGGCUGGCAGCUGUAGUUCCAAUUUGACCCCUAGCCCAGGAACGUCCUUGUGCCACAGCUGCAACUGUAAAAAGAAAAAAAAUAUAGUAACUGAACCACUUGGUUGGACGUCAGAAACUAACACGACAUUGUCAGUCAACUGUACUUUAAUUAAAAAUAAUGUAAUUGAAUUAUUAAUUUAAUUAAUUACCUGGUGGUGCAGUGGGUUAAAGAUACAGCACUGUGGAGUUCCCGUCUUGGCGCAGCUGAAACGAAUCUGACUAGGAACUGUGAGGUUGCGGGUUCGAUCCAUGGCCUCGCUCAUUGGGUUGGNUAUCCAAGCCGCUUCUGUGAUCUACACCACAGGUCAAGAUCCACAAAGCUGGAUCCUUAACCCACUGAGUGAGGCUGGGGAUUGAACCGGGGAUUGCAUCCUCAUGGAUACUAGUUGGGUUUGUUACUGCAAUGGGGACCUCCCAGCUUCUUUAAAGUGGAUCAGAAAACACGGAUUUACAUGCCUUCACCAUCCUGGUUGCCUGGUUAACAACAGGCUUAGCAUGUCUGGGCCUCAGUUUCCCCAUCUGUAAAAUAAAGAGGUUUGAUUUCAUGAUCUUUAAGGUCAUUUUAAUACCAACGUUCUGUGUUAAACUCAGGAACCCCUGCAAAGAUGUCCACAUACAUUUCUAAGCAGGGGACGUCCCCCUCCCCUAAAUGUUCCUGUCACGUUUAUCUGCUGACGGUAGAAAAUGGAGACAUUUAUUUAUUCAAUUUCUCUUUCUCCAACAAAUAGUUUCUGAGGGCCACGAUGUUCCAGGUAAGACCCAUCAAGGGUCUCCUGUUCUAUUCCCAGCUCUGGCAGGAAGCAGGCAGGGAGAGUGGACUGGGUGCCUGGGGGACCCUGUAGCAUCCAUGGGAGCUUGUACCUGAGCCAAGCACAUUUUAAAAAGGCAAGAGUCAUGGGAAAUGUCGCCCUGAUGAACCUCAUCUGGGGCGGGAGGGUGACAGAGGGGAGGGAGGCGUCGAGGCCGGGCCUAAGCCUGGUCCCUGGAGGAGGGUGAUGGGAUGGGGGAAUGCAGGUUUCGCCCUCAGCUUUCUCAGGAUUUAUUUCGUUCGCAGGAUGCGACUCCCAGGCCAGACUGCUCAUUGCUUUCUCCUGGACCUAAGUCUGUCAGCAAAUCUGGUUGGCAGGCACCUCUGCUACUUGAAUUUUGCAGAGACCAGCCUCAUUGAACUCACCCAAACACUGUCAACAUGUGAAGGCAGGGUGGAGAGAAUGCAAAUACUAAUGAGGAUUGUGAGAUAUCAAAUUCCACAGAGUCUGGUAGGAACACUGCUUUGACUUCUCUUUAAAAGAAAACCUAGCUAGGAGUUCCUACUGCGGCUCAACAGGAUUGACGGCAUCUUGGGAGGGAGCACUGGGACACAGGUUUGAUCCCUGGGUGGGCACAGUGGGUUAAGGAUCUGUUGUUACCACAGCUGUGGUUUAGGUCGCAACCGCGGCUUGAUUCUGAUCCUUGGCCAGGGAACUCCAUAUUCCAAGGAGUGGCCACAAAA